CUCCAAUCCGCAGACACGUCUGUUAUUGGGACGCGGGUCCCUGUUUAGUUUAGUGUGUUUGACAUGUGUUGGUGUUAACUUAUCCGGGAUCACGCGUGCACAGUGUGCUGGCCAUCGCGGGGCAUCGCGGGGCAUCAAGGGUCAGGGGCUCCUCUCCAUUCCACCUCCACGCAGGACCUGAUUCAUCUUUCGUCGAAUGGCUUUAUUGACCACCACCACCAGGUCCCAGAAAGGAGAGCGUCCAGGGUGACUCAGCCAGAUAAUCCAGUGAUUAAUAAAGUCUCCCUUCGCAUUUUCAUCCAAUACACGAGCCAGAAUUAUAUCAAAGAGAACUCCCCUCUCUUUCUGGUGCUGUGUCCGUGGGAUUCACUGUCACGCGUGAACGUGACCUCAGUGGACACCCACAGAAGAGUCCUGCACUGGAGCUACAACUGCUGAUGGACAAAGGAGACGUGGACCUGUGUGCGUGUUAUAGGCUGUCUUCAACA
rnacentral:lncRNA from 1 species